rnacentral:rRNA from 1 species
AUUGAACGCUGGCGGCAUGCUUUACACAUGCAAGUCGGACGAGUGGCGAACGGGUGAGUAAUAUAUCGGAACGUACCGAGUAAUGGGGGAUAACUAAUCGAAAGAUUAGCUAAUACCGCAUAUUAUUCGAGCGGCCGAUAUCUGAUUAGCUAGUUGGUGGGGUAAAGGCUCACCAAGGCGACGAUCAGUAGCGGGUGUGAGAGGACGACCAGCCACACUGGGACUGAGACACGGCCCAGACUCCUACGGGAGGCAGCAGUGGGGAAUUUUGGACAAUGGGCGCAAGCCUGAUCCAGCCAUGCCGCGUGUAUGAAGAAGGCCUUCGGGUUGUAAAGUACUUUUGUCAGAGAAGCGGUACCAGCAGAAGAAGUAACGGCUAAAUACGUGCCAGCAGCCGCGGUAAUUC